UCCGUCGUGAGGUGGAAUCUGAAGGAAGCCAAAAGCAAAACCUUGGUCUGAGGUACACGAAUCACAUAUGAGGCUCAAAGCUAUGGGCAAACUUGCUAGACAAAGUAAAGCCCCAUAACUAUCCGAAAUGGCUAGAGUAAAUGUGGCAGAUAGAUGAGGUGAAAGUGCGUGCU
rnacentral:ncRNA from 1 species